GAUGAACGCUGGCGGUGUGCCUAAUACAUGCGAGUCGAGCGAACAGACGAGGAGCUUACUCCUCUGACGUUAGCGGCGGACGGGUGAGUAACACGUGGAUAACCUACCUAUAAGACUGGGAUAACUUCGGGAAACCGGAGCUAAUACCGGAUAACAUGUUGAACCGCAUGGUUCAACAGUGAAAGACGGUCUUGCUGUCACUUAUAGAUGGAUCCGCGUCGCAUUAGCUAGUUGGUAAGGUAACGGCUUACCAAGGCAACGAUGCGUAGCCGACCUGAGAGGGUGAUCGGCCACACUGGAACUGAGACACGGUCCAGACUCCUACGGGAGGCAGCAGUAGGGAAUCUUCCGCAAUGGGCGAAAGCCUGACGGAGCAAUGCCGCGUGAGUGAAGAAGGUCUUCGGAUCGUAAAACUCUGUUAUUAGGGAAGAACAAAUGUGUAAGUAACUAUGCACGUCUUGACGGUACCUAAUCAGAAAGCCACGGCUAACUACGUG
rnacentral:rRNA from 1 species